rnacentral:rRNA from 1 species
GAGUUUGAUCGUGGCUCAGGACGAACGCUGGCGGUGUGCUUCACACAUGCAAGUCGAACGGGGUAGCAAUACCCAGUGGCGGACGGGUGAGUAACACGUGGGAAUCUACCAUAAGGUGGGGAAUAACAGGCCGAAAGGUCUGCUAAUGCCGCAUAUGUAGGCAUCUCGACAGAGGUGUUUAUGAAAGGAGUAAUCCGCCUUUUGAUGAGCCCGCGUCCGAUUAGCUAGUUGGUAGGUAAAAGCCUACCAAGGCGACGAUCCGGUAGGUGGUCUGAGAGGAUGAUCACCCACAAUGGGACUGAGACACGGCCCAUAC